GCUGACGGGAGCCGCGCCUGCGCAGUUGUCUCCGGCUCUUCCGCUCUGGUAGCGAGUCUGUCAGAGGAGCCUGGUUGCGCCGCCGCCCACUGGCUUGUGGUGAAAGCUGGAGAAACUUUCUGCCUCCUCUCAACCCCUGGCCCCACUUUUUAAGGCAGAAACCAAUCUACACCCACAUUCAAGCCAAGUGAAGGUUGUCUGACUUGGGAGCUUUUCUCCUCACACGGGGCUCAGCCUCAUUAUCAGAGCGGUGUCUUUGACAACCCGGAGCCCAUUAAAAACAUCUUGAAGAAAGGGUACCCCACACUGUGGAGCUUCAAAAUCUAUACCAAGCUGGAGUCCUUAAGGAUGGUGUUACAACAUGAGCAAGCGGCUCCUUCAUUUUUCAUCCUAGGGUAUCAAGGAACAGACAUGUUAUCUGGCCCCUAUGUGACUGACCCCGGCCACGUUGCACAUCGCCACCAAGACACUGAAGUCAAAUAAUCGAAAUAGCAGCGGAGGACCUCUCUGCUGGGGUUUACAGCCCCUCCAAAUCUUGAGCUGCUUUUAUAGGGUUACUAGUUGAGAUUUAAAGUUUCUUUGUUUUCAGAGCACCAGAGCUCCCAUUUGCCACCAAUUGCCAUUUUUCAAAGGUUUCUGGCUCACCCAGGAAUUCAUUAGGGUGGUAGCAGAAGAAAGGGUGGAUAGACUAGACCCACAGUGCAAUCCCGACCCUGCUCCCCACUCCCCACUCCCUCACUUGGGGGCCCGAGCCUCACCCACACUCCCUUGUUUUCCAGUUUGGAAGGAGGAAGCCAGGGAUGUGAGCACUCUCUAAUCAUAUGCAGUGGUUUUCUCGGAGCCUGGUGUGAUUUCUGGAGCUUCCAGCAAUGUGUGGGACACACUCUGCACUGAAGAAUUUAAUGACUUGUUUUACUGCUGCCUGCCAUCAAUAUUUAUCUAUAUUAACUGAAGAAAGGCAUUACUUGAAAUGGCGUUUCACACCUCUGAGCAUUAUACAGUAAUUCCAAAGUCGUAAGUUGUACCAAAUUCUACGGGCAACCACAGAGAUGCAGCAUGAAUGGAAAUAACCCAGCUUGAAGUUGUGAAACUUGAACCGUCUGCAGCAAUCUGGAAAGCCAAAGUCAAGAUUAUUAAGAGUUGCUAAAGGUGAGACUCUCUAGCAGUGGAUAGAAAGCAGUGGCAACAAUCUUUCCUUUGCUCUCUGUUCCUUGAAUUAAUAAGAGCACUUUGCAAGUAUACAUAAUAGACGAGAAACGCUCUCGAGAAAGGCAAUGAGACGAGGCAGAUGAGUACCUGGCUUCCUUCUGCCUUAAUCAUUCAGGCAAGCCGGCUGAAUCAUCCCUUCCAUGUUUCCACUUACCCUUCUGGCCGGCAGUGUUCUCACUCUUGGUUUCCCCCUGCCAGGAAGCCAUCUCUGACCCUGUUACCUCAUGCCAACAUUUUCUGGUUUGCAUCUCUUCAACACACUUAUGAAAAAAGUAUCCUACUUAUUCGAGGGCCUGUACCCUUGCCUGCCUCCCCGCUGGCACGGAAGUGCCUUGAGAUCAGAAACACACCAGGCAGACAGCCGUUCUGUCUUUAGCACUGAGCCCAGGGCCUGGUAUAUGGUAGGGGCCACUUUGAUUUGCAGGGUGAAUUACCCACCCUAGAAGAUCCUGAGCUUGAAGCACUGUGGAUACCACACAGACCACAUCAUUUUGAGCCAACAGCUUUAAAAGGACCAUGUAAGCAUCCCAUGCUUGAGCUUUACUCAAAGACCAGCAGUUUCAAGGAUGAAAGGAUGUAGGAGAUCAGUUGGGCCAACCCUUCACCUCACAGAGGAGAGAACCUAGUCCCAGAGGGAUUAAGAGACUCACUCUUCCAAGGUCGUUCAGUGCUUUGCAGAGGCAGAAGUAACUCCAGGACCUGGGCUUCUGGCAGCUGCUGGCUCUGGCUCUUUCUCAGAUGCUGUGCUCUAUCUCCAAAAAUAAGCUCUCCAGCCAAUGACUUCUAGAAUAGCUUGACUUUCACAUUGUGAUCUAAAAUGCACUUCCUAUAAUUUUCUCGUCUUUGGAAAUUAUGUUUAUGGGACAUCUGGGCGAGAGAAUUAGUCCUCAAUUCAUAAUAGAUAAGGUUUACAUUUUUAAUAACGGGAUUAGAACUUCAGGGAAACUUUAUAACUGCACUAUUAGCACACCACACUUAGGUUUUAUAUUAAUACAAGAUUACUGGCCCAAUGACUUUACACACUUUGGAAGAAGCACACAACUUGGAAGAAGAAUGGUGAACAGAAGGACACAUGUUCAGUGGGAGUCUGCUUCCCAGUCUUUCUGGAGUUGUAAAAGCCUGCUGUUACUUGGUGGCUUCUGUGAAACAGGACUGACACAUUGCUUAUUCCCUUUAAAAAACUAUGACGUGGAAUUCAUUUAUUUUCAUUUUAAGGUUGGAAGCACUUCUUGAAUAAACCAGAGAUGCCCUGAAGAGUAAACUAUAAGGAUAAGAAUCACUGAAUAAGAAGCUGUAAACCAGUAGGUAAGACUGUGUACGUAUCAGUCCACAUUCAGACAUGACUGUUAGCAUGACUUAUAAAGUCAUUUAUGUCCCUUAAAUAAAUAGAUAGUGAUUAAGGAAAGGGGGGGGGAUUCCUGGGUGGCUUAGCGGUUGAGCAUCUGCCUUUGGCUCAGGGUGUGAUCCUGAUCCAGGGAUCGAGUCCCAUGUCAGGCUCCCUGCAUGGAGCCUGCUUCUCUCUCUGCCUGUGUCUCGGCCUCUCUCUCUGUGUCUCUUAUGAAUAAAUAAAUAAAAUCUUUAAAAAAAAAAAAAAGAAAAGGCGGGGGCUUGAGGGGGAACAAAGUCAUUCGGGAAACAGCCAUCCUGCUGUUUUCAGAAAAAAAGGGACAACAUGGGCCCAAAUCCAUGCCAUCCUAAGCAUUAAUUCUCAGAGUAAAUAAAAUUGUUGGCUAAAUAAGAUCGCUUUUCUCUGAAUGUCAUCUGUUUAUCCACUGUUCUAAAAAAAAAAAAACUAUUAGCAAAGGUGAAGAAAAGCAUGGCU